UCGACCUCCACCUCUCCCCAAUAUAUACAAGCAGAAGAGAUUAUAUUCUCCAACGCUUUAUUCUUUUUCUCCUUUUAAUUUGAUUUCAUAAACAGCUUUGAAACAAGCCCAUAUGUCAUGCUAAUAUGUGUUGUUAAGGAUGCAUGCACCAAAUGCUACCCCUUACCUUGUGCUGAAGUGGCCACCUUCGUGGAUCCUGAAUCCCUGCUCUGGUUCCUGGGCAUCGUGCGCCUGUUCACCCAGCCCAGCCAACUCUGGUGGCAGUUCUACUGGAAACCAUGGAAAAGAAUGCUCCAGAAAACGCGGCCCCAAGAGGAGAGCCAUUUAUAUCCUCGGCAGACAGCAGGAGAUGAAAAGCUUCAAGACCAAGGAUGGAACAGACUGAUGUGAAUCUUCUUUGCUCUGAAUUUGGUUUUGUAAUUAAGGUAUAGAACUCUUUAUCAUGCUAAGCUGGUGCCGAUUCCGACAAUUAGGAAUCUCAAUCAUAUGCUCAUCUUUGAUUUUGUCUGAAAUCUUGUAUCCAUGUCUCCGUACGUUGACUGCUUGACUUUGAUCAGUCAUAACGAGGCCAUGCUUUGGAUGGCAGUGGUAUGCUUUAAGGGUCCUUUUAUGUGUCAUCUUAAAAUAAUAAUAAUAAUAAUAAGCAGCUGCCAUGGGUUAUCUUGA